rnacentral:rRNA from 1 species
AACGAACGCUGGCGGCAUGCCUAACACAUGCAAGUCGAACGAGACCUUCGGGUCUAGUGGCGCACGGGUGCGUAACGCGUGGGAACCUGCCUUUAGGUUCGGAAUAACUCAGAGAAAUUUGAGCUAAUACCGGAUGAUGUCUUCGGACCAAAGAUUUAUCGCCUUUAGAUGGGCCCGCGUUGGAUUAGCUAGUUGGUGGGGUAAAGGCCUACCAAGGUGACGAUCCAUAGCUGGUCUGAGAGGAUGAUCAGCCACACUGGGACUGAGACACGGCCCAGACUCCUACGGGAGGCAGCAGUGGGGAAUAUUGGACAAUGGGCGAAAGCCUGAUCCAGCAAUGCCGCGUGAGUGAUGAAGGCCUUAGGGUUGUAAAGCUCUUUUACCCGAGAUGAUAAUGACAGUAGCGGGAGAAUAAGCUCCGGCUAACUCCGUG